CUUUACUUAAUUUCCAUGAAUUUAAACGUAAAUAGCCGUGUGUGGCUAAUGGCCACCAUGUUGGAUAAUCCGGCUAUGGAUGACACGGAGGUGGUGAUGGCAGUGUGAACAGAAUCCGUGGGAGCAGCAAGGUGAGUGAAGAUUUCCCAGCCCGGGAGGGAGGGGCGCAGGGUCAAUGUCAGGUCAACGUCAGGCCUCUGUGUGUCUCGUUUCAUCUUGGAUCGGCUCCCAAAUUCGGGAUGACAUGAGCAGACUCAGGGACCAGCCUUUUGGGAAGUUUAAAAUCCAUUAUAUUCCCACCUCCUGCCUUCUCUCUCGUUUCCGGCCCUCCCUCAUUCAGAGGUGGAAUCACUCUUGCUUUGCAUAGUACAAGCUUCCUAAAAUGUCCGGUUGGGUACUUCUGCCUAACUAAUUCCUUUGCAUCCUUUAAGAGCCCAUUCGAAGCCCAUCUUAAGAUUUCUGCUCACUGUCACUUCCGCUCGACUCCCUUCUCCCCGGUGCCCCUUCACGGCAGAGAGCAAGCAGGGCAGGGAGGUUGUGCGGUUGGUGCUCUCUAGGCCUGGGCCGGAAUCCCCGGCUAGCUUUAUAACCUUGGGCACGUACUCUAACCUCUCUAAACUUCUGCUUCCACAUCUGUUCUGUGGAGAUGCAAAAAAAAAAAAAAAAAAUGCAUAUGCUCUCCGGGUGAUUAUGAUUUAAACGACUGCCUACACGUAACUCCCUCAGCACAGUGCCCAGUAUACCGUGGGCCCUCGAAGAAUAUUUGUUAUUGGUACUAUGUUUUUACCAGUAUAUCCUCGAUAUUGCUAUAUUAUUUAUGCCUCAUUACAAAACUAUGUGAUCGGAGCCCCCCGCUCUAAAAUGUUUUUAUGACUCCUUUCUAUGCAGCAAAAUGCCUGGCCCCAAGUAGCUGUUUCACGAACGUUUACUGAAUGCAUGCAUAAACUAAUGUGCGGGUGAAUAUGUAGAUGCAUGAAUGGUUACAUGGAUAAGUGCCUGAUCGGCCUGUGCAGAUGUCCAAUGGCAACGGUGAUUUCUCUCAAGGCCAAGAGCAUUUGAAAGUGACCAUCAUUUGGGGGGCCUGUCUCAUGCUUACUUAGCUUAAUUCUAAAGCCCUUCCCUCACCUAUAGCCUCAUGAAAAGAACAGGAGUUACAAUAACAAAUACUUCUUCAUCAUAGAGAAUAACAAGAUAUCAGGGGAAAAAAAGAACAGUUAAUUUAAUUUAAAUGUUUAUUUCUGAGAGAGAGAGAGAAGGAGAGGGGGAGGGAGAGGGAGAGAGGAGAAAGAGAGGAGAGGAGAGGAAAGAGGAGAGAGAGAGCACACAUGCACAGGAGGGGCAGAGAGAAAGGGAUACAGCAUCUGAAGCAGGCUCUGCUCUGACAGCACAGAGCCCGACGCAGGGCUCAAACUUGCAAACCUUGAGAUCGUGACCUAAGCUGAAGUUGGACAUUUAACCCAUUGAACCACCCAAGCUCCCCAAUAGAACAAUUUUAAAAGAACAUAACUCCAUCAUCCACAUAGAGCUACUGACACUUAAAUGUUAGAGUAUUUCCUUCCAGGCUUUUUUCUGUGUAUAUUAAAAAAUUUUUUUUAAUAUUUAUUUAUUAUUGAGAAACAGAGAGAGAGAGAGAGACCGUGAGCAGGGGAGGGGCAGAGAGAGAGGGAGACACAGAACCCGAAGCAGGCUCCAGGCCCUGAGCUGUCAGCACAGAGCCCGAUGUGGGGCUCAAACUCCCAAACCACAAGAUCAUGACCUAAGCCGAAGUCGGAUGCCUAACCGACUGAGCCACCCAGACACCCCAUUUCUGUGUACAUUUUUACACAAAUCUGUGAUUACACUGUAUUUGUAAUUUUGGCUACAUGUUUAAAAUUAAAAAAAAAAAUCUGACACACAACACCAGGUUGGCAACUAUUUGAAGAAAACUGGAGCCUUCACAAGUUGCUGGGAGAAGUAGAAAUUGGUAUAAUCAUAUGGAAAACUGCUCUGUGGUGUCUGUGGAAGCUGUAAACAAAUGAAUUUCCAAUGAUCUGGCAAUUCUACUCCUAGGUACAUACGCAACAGAAAUGUGUACAUAUGAUCACCUGAAGAAGCCUUUUCAUGAAUAAUCGUCGCUGUACUGUUUGUAAUGGAUAAAAUUGGAAACAAUCCAAAGGCUCACGGAGGGUGGAACGAAUAAGUAACUGUAGCAUAUUAACACAAUGGAAGGGGGUCAGGAAGCUACAACUCCCACAACGACCUGCAUGAAUGUGGCAAACAAAAUGUUCAGGAAAGGAAGGGACAAAUGAAUAUAGAAACUAUGACUGUAUCCAGUUUCAAGACCGGCAAAACGGAGCGAAAG
rnacentral:lncRNA from 1 species